GGGGAGGGUUUGGGGUAGAUGGGAGGUGGGAGGUGGGAUGGGAAGGGAAUAAAAGUUUUAGGGGAAAAGUAGGAGGAAGUAAAAAUUGUGGGGGAAAAUAAAAUGUUUUGAGGGUUUUUUGGAGUAAAAUUUUGAGAAAAAGUAAAUGGGAGAGUAAAAUUUUGGUGGGAAAUGGAUUUUGGGUAGAUUAGGGGGUUGGGAGGGGAGUAAAAGUUUUG
rnacentral:lncRNA from 1 species